CCUGAACCCAACUGUCCAGACGUUGAGGUAGAAUUUCUAUAGAGAUGCAAGGCUCUGGGCAAGGGCAGCCAGUGACUCAGUUUACCUCUCCUGAAAACCCCGUCCCUCACAGAACUUGCUAAGAACAGCCCACACCGAGCCUGGCGUGCACGCUCACCCGCAGCCAGAGCGUGGCAUGGACUCGCCUAGUCUCAGGGGUCCGGGAAGGGUGACUGCCCGCGGACUACUUUGCGCGGACCCUCAGGCGGAGGACGAAGGGGUUCCGCUACCGCCGGCGGAGGGGACGUGCGUGGCGCCCCGAGUCAGUGCGCCUGCGCCGCCGCCCCCGCGCGCGCACACGCCCCCCGCCGGCCGCGCGUCCGCCCGUCCGCGGGGCCACUCGCGCGACAGGGGCCGCCGCAGCCCCGCGCCCGCCCUCCCGCAGGUCCUCCCCUUCGCUUCCGGGAGCGCUUCCAGGACAGGACGCCAUGCAGUGCACUGCAGAGUCAGCCCCACGAUGGCUGAGAAGCUGCUGCAGGGGUUCCCGGAGGAGGGCCAGCAGGAGUGCUCCGCAGCCUCUCCCUGCACCUGCUGCAACCUGCUUCCCCGAAGGUGAUGCUGGAGCUGGCCUGGAGGCACAGCCUGGUAGGCCUGGCCGUGACCUGCUUCGCCCAGGUGAUGAGGGAGAACCUUAGCAAAGCUGAUGAGCUGUUUAACGAGGUAACGGUGUCUAAUUUCAACUUCCUGUGAGUGGAAGCCCUAGGAGUCACUGUCUAGGGCCUAGCUGUAGCCACUCUCCAGAGACACAUCAUCCGGCCCGAUUUGUUUCUAAGUCUGCAGAAAAGCAAUCGCUCAGCAGUGCCGACUUGCCCUUCGAGCCACAUUCCUAACCUUCUGCCAGCCAGACGGAGGCCCCACAGUGCCAACAAGCCCCGGGCCAAGGCUUCCUUCAGUGUGCAUGGAAACGGGGAGCCUCCCAGGCUUAGUAUGGGGUUAGGGAAAAACGGAGGGGAUGGGGUCUGGUGCUCCCGGCUUCGGCCUGCAAGGGCCAUCCCAGGGCCAUCCCAGGGCCACUCAAGGCCAUGGCCCUGCUGAGGAGGAGGGACCCAGGAAGUGUGCCUUCUCGCUGGAAGGACCCUGGUCCCUGGCCCAGGGUCCCCAGGCACCCUCCCUAGUCCUGGAAGGCAGGAGCUGCCGUGGUGCCUGCCCUCAGUCCUGCCCUACAUGCCUCUCCUGGCGCCCAGCCAGAUGGCUUGUCACCUGGUGGGGAGUGGAGGGUGCUCACGAGGGAUUCCGCUGGGCAGUGGGAGAGUUUAGUUGGUUCCUGGGGGCUGGGCCCAGCAGACUGGACACUGCUGUGAGGCAGAUAAGAAUGCCACAGCACCUUCCUGACUAGAGAUGCUGGCCCCGGGCCUCUUGACUCACCUGAGAAGCUCAAUGACCAUCCCUCGCUAAGAACCGUCUGCUCCCCAGCGCACUCCCAGUACAGCCAGCUGAAGGCAGAGGGGACAGGUUGAGAGGGGACAGUUUUCUUGCUCCUUCCUUAGCGCAGGUCCCAUGGAGGGAAGAGGAGAGGGAGUGCACGGGGCUGGCAUCAGAGCUGUCUCUGCUGGGUGUUCGGUGCCUUGCCUGAGCUCUCCCAGACCUGAGUGCACACAGGGCACGUACUAUUUCUUCUUUCUUACCCAUGUGCUUGUUUGGGGGGGUCCCCGACACACAGUUGCUGUCACUCAUCCUAGCACAGUACAUCCCCCAUGGCACCACCUCAUUCUAUUCCCUCUCCAUCUGUCUG